CACCUCUAAGGAAGGCAGCAGGCGCGCAAAUUACCCAAUCCUGACUCAGGGAGGUAGUGACAAGAAAUAACAAUAAACCGGCUUAUGCCGGUUUAAUUGGAAUGAGUACAAUUUAAACAUCUUAACGAGGAACAAUUGGAGGGCAAGUCUGGUGCCAGCAGCCGCGGUAAUUCCAGCUCCAAUAGCGUAUACUAAAGUUGUUGCAGUUAAAAAGCUCGUAGUUGGAUUUCUGUGGGGACGGAGCGGCCGGCCGCAACUCGCGGUUCGAGCUAGCGCUUUCCCUACAUCCUGCCGCGAACCGUGCUACCAUUAGUUUGGUGGCGCCGGGGAUCGGCUCGAUUACUUUGAGAAAAAUAGAGUGUUCAAAGCAGGCCACACGCCUUGAAUAAGUUAGCAUGGAAUAAUAACUAAGGACUUCGGUUCUAUUUUGUUGGUGUUCGGGACUGAAGUAAUGAUUGAUAGGGACAGUUGGGGCGGUCUGUAUUCCAAAGCGAGAGGUGAAAUUCUUAGACCUUCGGAAGACAAACAGCUGCGAAAGCGUUCCGCAAGGAUGUUCCCUUUGAUCAAGAACGAAAGUUGGGGGAUCGAAGACGAUCAGAUACCGUCGUAGUCUCAACUAUAAACUAUACCAGCUAGGGAUCGGCCAACGUUAUUUAAACCGACUUGGUCGGCACCUUAUGAGAAAUCAAAGCAUCUGGGUUCCGGGGGGAGUAUGGUCGCAAGGCUGAAACUUAAAGGAAUUGACGGAAGGGCACCACCAGCCGUGGAGCCUGUGGCUUAAUUUGACUCAACACGGGAAAACUUACCAGGUCCAGACAUAGUAAGGAUUGACAGAUUGAUAGCUCUUUCUUGAUUCUGUGGGUGGUGGUGCAUGGCCGUUCUUAGUUGGUGGAGUGAUUUGUCUGGUUAAUUCCGUUAACGAACGAGACCCCAGCCUGCUAAAUAGCGCGCGUGAGCUUUGCUCGCGGCGAGCUUCUUAGAGGGACUAUGAUGCGCGAUAGCACAUGGAAGUUUGGGGCAAUAACAGGUCUGUGAUGCCCUUAGAUGUUCUGGGCCGCACACGGGCUACACUGGCGCCUGCAACGAGCAUAUCAGCUGGCCCGAGAGGGUCUUGGUUAAUCUUUUGAACCGGCGCCGUGCUUGGGAUUGACCUUUGCAAUUGUUGGUCAUGCAACGAGGAAUGCCUUGUAAACGCGAGUCAUCAGCUCGCAUUGAAUACGUCCCUGCCCUUUGUACACACCGCCCGUCGCUCCUACCGAUGAAUGUUCCGAUGAAAUUUUCGGAGAGUGCCUGUGAACUUGGCUCUGCCUUGCGAACGGGAAGCUCAAAGUCACUUAAAUCUGAACAUUUC
rnacentral:rRNA from 1 species